GUCUUUGGAACCAGCUCAAGACUCCUAUGGGUCCUCCAAACGCAAGAGGCCAAAGAUGGCAUCUGAAUCAUCUCAAGUUUCAGACGAAGAAUCAGACAUGCUGACUCAACAGGCCUCAGC